rnacentral:lncRNA from 1 species
AAACCCUGGUGCUCCCUAGCGUCCAGUUUUACCCUAAGGAUGGCAUUUGCUGCAUCCUGUGUGUCCUCCUGGUCACAGAAUCAUCACUGACUGUGGGAGGAGUUGGCUGCUGUCCACCACUGCAAAAUGAGGGUGCCACAGAGAGAGGGCAAAGCGGGAGAAAUGAGGCUGGAGCAUGCCCAGUGCAGCCGACCCUCCUUGGGCUUCCCUCUCCUUGGCAGGGAGGAGAUAAAACAAGGUGCAGACCAAAGAAACCAAGUCUUCAGGCUGGACUAUGGGUCUUGGUUGUCUUGGCCCUGUGGGGCAGAAGGGAUGAAGAAGGGCAGAGAAGGGCAGAAAUAGCCCUCUGAAAACUGAGUGGGGACAUAGGAGUACACAACCACCACCCAUCUGUUGAGAGGGUUUUGAAUGUUACAAUAUAUAAAUUGAAAUU